rnacentral:tRNA from 2 species
GAUUCUGUAGUUAAAAGUUUAUAACAUUAGAUUGCAAAUCUAAAGAUGUGUCAUUACUAGGAUUU